rnacentral:rRNA from 1 species
AGCGAACGCUGGCGGCAGGCCUAACACAUGCAAGUCGAACGAACUCUUCGGAGUUAGUGGCGGACGGGUGAGUAACACGUGGGAACGUGCCUUUAGGGUCGGAAUAACUCAGGGAAACUUGAGCUAAUACCGGAUGUGCCCUUCGGGGGAAAGAUUUAUCGCCUUUAGAGCGGCCCGCGUCUGAUUAGCUAGUUGGUGAGGUAAAGGCUCACCAAGGCGACGAUCAGUAGCUGGUCUGAGAGGAUGAUCAGCCACAUUGGGACUGAGACACGGCCCAAACUCCUACGGGAGGCAGCAGUGGGGAAUCUUGCGCAAUGGGCGAAAGCCUGACGCAGCCAUGCCGCGUGAAUGAUGAAGGUCUUAGGAUUGUAAAAUUCUUUCACCGGGGACGAUAAUGACGGUACCCGGAGAAGAAGCCCCGGCUAACUUCGUG